rnacentral:rRNA from 1 species
CCUACGGGUGGCAGCAGUGGGGGAUAUUGCACAAUGGGGGGAACCCUGAUGCAGCGACGCCGCGUGGGUGAUGGAGCGUUUCGGCGUGUAAAGCCCUAUUGGUAGGGAAGAAGAUGACGGUACCUGACCAAGAAGCUCCGUCUAACUACGAGCCAGCAGCCGCGGGAAUACGGAGGGGGCAAGCGUUAUCCGGAUUUACUGGGCGUAAAGGGGGCGCAGGCGGCAUAGCAAGCCAGGUGUGAAAGCCCGGGGCCCAACCCCGGAACUGCACUUGAAACUGCAUGGCUGGAGUACAGGAGGGGCAGGCGGAAUUCGUGGUGUAGCGGUGAAAUGCGUAGAUAUUAGGAGGAACACCGAUGGCGAAGGCGGCCUGCUGGACUGUGACUGACGUUGAGGCCCGAAGGCGUGGGGAGCAAACAGGAUUAGAUACCCGGGUAGUC